UACGGAGGGUGCAAGCGUUAUCCGGAUUCACUGGGUUUAAAGGGUGCGUAGGCGGGCAGGUAAGUCCGUGGUGAAAUCUCUGAGCUUAACUCAGAAACUGCCAUGGAUACUAUUGUCUUGAAUAUUGUGGAGGUGAGCGGAAUAUGUCAUGUAGCGGUGAAAUGCUUAGAUAUGACAUAGAACACCAAUUGCGAAGGCAGCUGGCUACGCAUAUAUUGACACUGAUGCACGAAAGCGUGGGGAUCAAACAGG
rnacentral:rRNA from 1 species